UAAUUUGACAUUUAAAAUUAUGAAACGUUCCAAACGUGAUGCACGGCAGCGACGGCAAAAAAAGCGAAAACUUUUGUUUGAAGUGAUUGAGAAUGAUGCAGCUGAUGAUGGACCAAAGACAGAGCUGCUCGCGCUCAAUGAAAAUUGUCUUGAAGAGGUAUUGGAGUGGUUGCCGUUAUCUGAUUUAGUGUGUUUGAGUACAACGUGUAAGCGAUUGCAAGGAGUCGUCAGUAGAUAUUUUAGUCGUAAAUAUCCAACAAAACGGAUGACAGUUAAAAUGGAUGCUCGACAACGAAUCGAAUUUUGGCCACGUGAAAAAUAUAUACAAAGGUUUCGUGAAUAUUUCCAGAAUAUUGGUAUAAGAGGUCGUCAGCCAGCAUUAUUUCGUCAUGUUGGAACCAUUUGCAACAAGACACUGAAAAAAAUUCGAAUUCUUGAGGCGACAGCAUUAACAGAAAUGCAUGGUCGUUGUAUCGAAGAGUUGCUAAAAAAUGUUGAAAUUGUUGAAUUCGAAGAAUGUUCGUUCGCAGCUGACUUUUACGAUUCUUUCUUGAAGUAUUGCUCAAAUUUGAAGCAAUUAGUGCUCAAGUCAUUUAAAGAAUGCACUCACAGUGGCAUUAAAAACAAAUGGCUACUUCAAAAAUAUCCACAUAUGAAACACUUGAAUUGGAGCUUCGACGAACCACCGCCCGAUGAGUUGAUAACAUUUUUUCAUCGCAAUCCGAAUGUUAGGAGUUUUGGCGCGGCACGUUUUCCACUUGAGGUUACAAGUUUAAUCAUGAAGGCCGGCAUUAGACUUGAAGUGCUAUGCUUGGAUAUUGGAUUUGGCGUGGAUCUCAACAUGAAGCAAAUUUUUCAAAGCAUUGAUACUCUACACAAGCAAAACCAAUUCAAAAAAUUACACAUGAUUCCAACUACUUCAAUGUUCGUUGCUGCUCGGUUUCCACCUUUAGAAUAUCUCGACGCUAUUAUGGCCAAUCAGGUGUUCGAAGAUGUCAUCGCAGCCAUGCACAGUUUGAAGGUGCUGUAUUUGGAUGCAAUUUUGUUUCGAGCUGAAGCUGAAAUUUUGGCACAAAAUCUAAUAAAUCUUGAGGAGAUUUAUGCAUACUGUGAUGCAAUUGACGCAAUUGUCCCUUUUGUUUUGCAUUCAGUAAAACUGAAAAAGAUUUAUGUAAACAAAACGUUUCUGCCAAAACACAUGCAGAAAAUUAAUCUCAACAAACUGAGCAAAGAACGGGCAAAAUUACAAAACGCUUGUCAUUUGGUUAUUUACCUAAAGGAGGAGUUAUAUAUCAAUAUUAAAUGGACGGUAGAAGAUUAUUAUUGUUUAUUUAUUGUUUUACGAUUAUUUUUCGAUUAGUUUCGAUUAUCGUCAUUCACAUUCAUACAUUAAUUCAGUAAUGUGCGAGCUACAUUUUACAGGGGGGAGGGGGGCGGGUUGGGUGAUUUAAGUGAAGAGCUAAAAAAAAAAAGGUCUUCACUUUUUUCGUGAAAAACCCUAGCAAAUUCGAAUAAUUUUCGCAAAAAAAUUUUUCUCAUCCAAAUCACAGGGGGGGUAAACCCCCCCUACCCCCCUCGCACAUUACUGCAUUAAUUGUAAUAUUACGUAUGAGAUUGUCAAAUGACGAUGAUGGAAAUUGAAUCUAUGUGAAAUAAAAAGAGAGAGUGUGUGUGUGUGGAUGAGUGAGUGAGUGAGUGAUAGAUGAUUGGGAAACCAUUAGAAUGUAAGACAAAACAUACAAAAGAAACAAAAGUCGCGACAGCAAACAAAUUGCUGACGAAAAAUUGAGAUUUGGUAGUAGCAGCAGAGAAGGAAUCAAUGUUGUACACACAGUAGCAUUGCAUCGGAACAACGUCACAACAACGACAACAUGGCGACGCAAACGGAUAAACGAAAACUGUAUCAACAGCAACAAGAAAUCACAUUCGGCUAACGCAUUCGCUGAUCAAUAUCGGCCACUGUCAACGACAAACCGAUUUAAAUGUGUUGGUGUGUAUUUGACUGUGACAUUUCAAACCAACAAGCCGGCAACAAUUCACAUCGUGACGAACCAUUGCCAGUGUAAGAACUAAAAUUCCUGUGCAUAAAUUUUCAGUUUGCAUUGAAAGUGAAAUAUUCUAUCGGAUUGGAUCUUUAUCGGUUUUUCCAAAAAAAGUGUUUGUUUCGUAGUUUGCCACAACUGUCCAACGGCCCCAAAUAUUGUUCUCAAAACUCCCAAGAAAUGGACGAUGAAAGUGCAUCACAGUCGACGAAAGAAAAUGGGUGCUGCACCAAGACCAAAGACAAUAGACUAUGAGCCCGAAUUCCAACUGAGAAAGGAAGGUGUUGUCAUGGAUCGUGAUCACAAUGCUUCACGCAAUAUGAUUUACAAAGCAUUGCGUAAGCUACAUCGUCAACCAGAUGAUCCCAUUUUCAAUAUGAGUGCUGCCGCAUGGAAACAACAAUAUCGUUCGAAUCCAGCAGUUCCAGCGAAUCGCCCGAUUCGUGCGAUUUGUGCGAAUCGUGUAGCAUAAUAGUAAAAGAAGUUAAGCCGCGGUCGUUCUAUUAGAAGUGACCAGCGGACCCAACCCUAUCGUAUUAAGACGGUAGGGAGUACUAUUCUAUAGUAGAAGAUUUGAAGCAGGGCCUCAUCGAAAUCAAAAGAGCCGAAUCGCACUUUAUCAACAACACAUUAGUUCGAAUGUGAUAGGAAUUUGAAAACAAAAAGUUUUAAAAAAAAUAUUAUCAUUUUAUUCCUUCAAUUUUCUUGAGUUACAAAAUAAAUCAAAAUAAAUUUUCAAAUGAUCGUAA